GUAAAAAAAAAAAAGUUUUAUAUAUAUUUUAAUUUCUUAAAAUAUCUUCAUCUCUUGAUUUUAAUCCCCAAUAAUCAUAUAUUAAUGGGACUAAAUACAACUUACAUGAAUUCUGCCUCAACAUUCUUUUACAGGGAACUAAAUACAAGUGCUUCUGAAGCAACCAUAUCCUAAUAAGUUCCUACCCACCAGUUUCUAUCCCAGUUAUAUGAAGCCACUGAAACAAAUUCUCUCUUUCACCUUUAUCUUGUAUUUGUUUCAUGGAAAGUGCUUUCAAGGAUAGGCCUGGGAACCAGCUAUAUAUGUUGCCUCAACUGAUGCAGAAGCUUCGGUUUCAAAGUCAUCCCAGGAACUGGUGGAAAGCAUGACAAAAUCUGCUAGCUUACCAGGAGAUAAAGAUCCCAGAUCAUCAUCCAGAAAGCAUGCAUAGGCAGCAGAAAUAGUGUGCCUGUCAUUGUAAAGUGUGAAUGUUAUCGGUAAAACCAUGAAUGCUAGAUUAUUGAGUAGGGAAGUAUAAGUUCAAACAUUCGGAGCAAAGAACAGUAGGGAUCAAAGAUUCUCAAGGACAUAAUUACAUUAACUACUCUCUCAUAAUUUGAAAGAAGUUAUUUUCAUUUUUCAGCCUACCGUUGCCUUCUUGUCCCUAUUUUGAAUGCAGCUGCUAGCCAACAAGAUUUUUUCACGGAUGAAACAUGUCACUGUUGCAAAACAUUUAACAAGGCGAGAAAAAGUAUGCUGAAAAAGGAUGAUGAACUAGGACAGUCAUUAAUCAAAUAAGCUUGGAGGCACAACAUUUUCCCAGCAUAAUAAAGUCUUAACUAUUUUUGUUUCCCCUUUCUUUAUGGCCAAGAAAAAAAAAAUAUUAAGGAAAACUUUUCACAAAGGAGUUCAGCAUUUGAAACCUUCUUAGAAUGGUUCUUAAUGGCCUUACAUAACUAAUGAGGAUGACUUGAUCCUAGUCCGUUUCCAAUUUCAGAACAAAAUAACAGGAAAUCAAUACGCACAUGAACCACAAUAUUUAAAGCAGGCCAAAACAGAACAUGAAAUCGCAACAAUAAUAUCUCAGAACUGCUUACGCAAUUAUUGCAUCUUUUAGUGAAAGGCACUCUGAUGGAAUCCAAGCAUUUUCCCAACCAGGAGGUAUUCUUUUCAUUGCAGUCUUGAUGCUUCUCAAAGGAUUGAUAUGUACAACCUGAGCCAACAUUACUGAUUUGAGAUUUUCUAAAGAACAUGACAUGACACACUACAAUUGAUUUUCAGAAAAAAUUGAAGGAAAUUAAGCAAAUGCAUAACCAAACAGAUACUGCGAGUUUUGCUAAAAUUAAGCAAAUUAAGCAAACUAAAACUGCAGCACUAAAAUUAAGCAGCAUACUUACCGGCCAGUCAGAACCUAAUGCCAACUGAGCAUUGCUAGCUAGGAGUGACUGUAAUUGGUAAGAUCCCCUUUCAGCCCUAUCCAUACCAAGCUUUUUCCUUGCAGAAUCAGCAUCAUCCAGUAGGUGAUCUGGCUGUUGAUAAUUGGCAACGUUUGAUCAUUGGCAUGUGAUUGUGUCAUCAAGCAGUACUAUACUCACUGGAGUACCCAUAAAAAAAAAAGGGGAAGCGGUUUGGGGCAGAGACCAGGACAGAAUUCACGUACUCCAAAUGAUUUUAUCAAGAUGAAAAAUGGAAUAUAGGAAUAAGGGAAGCACAGCACAUCUUUAGGCAUAUAAAUUCCGUUUACUAAAUUCACACAAUCAUGCAUAUUGCCAAAAUAGCAGAAUCAGAGGAAGGUCAACGCUCAGAUGUAUCCUGUUGCAUCUUUGGUAUAUAAGAGGAGUGAUUAUUUAAUUUUUAUAAAAGACUCAUAUUACAACACUGAUAAGUUUCUUUGGGCCAUCAACUUUUGAACGGAUUACAAGUAAAGGAAAACAAAGAUCAAAAAGUCCAACAAGUGCACUUUGCAGAUAUUAAAGACAUGAUAGGUAAUGCAAAGCUUGACCCACUUUUAAAGGUCCCCAGAAAUCAAUAUUCAGAAGCAGUUACAUAACAGAAAUAUAUUAACGUUUGAAAGCUUCAAAACAGUUUUGAUAGAAAACCUGUACUGAAGCAAUGAUCCCUUGCUCACCAAACCGAGAAAUUGUUCCAGGUGACAAGUGCUGGGCAUGCUCAAUCUGAAUAUCCAUAUAUAUAUAGUAGUUAUAUAUAUUAGUUAUUAAAACUACUUCCCAUCAAAUUAAAAUUGCAAAAAGAGAAUAAUAAAAAGUUCACCCCUAGGUUAACCUUGUUCACGUUUGAGCAUAAAACUUUACCCGAAAUCUUCUAUCCCUUUUUCCAUUUGUUAAAACUACGGAUUCGUACAUAUCUAGGACCAUAUCAUUGGCUUUGUCGCCUAUGGCAUGAAUUGCCACCUGAAAUACUUUUAAAGAAAAGUGUAUAGGCCACUGAUAUCAAUGCAUAAAUACACAUAUAUAUUUCACAAUGUGGGAGUUACCUGAAGUCCAGCUUUAUCUGAGGCCACAGUCAUGUUGAAAAGAUUUUCGACAUUUGUGAUUUGUAAGCCAUAGUUGUGAGGUUCAUCACUAUAAGGCUAGAAAAUAGGAAAAACUUGUUAGCGGAUAGGUGAAUGCUUUAUUUGGGCAUGGUAUGAGCCUAUUGGCAUGGAGGACUGCAAACAGCCUUUUAGAAAAUACUGGGAAAUGGGAAUGCUAUUGACUGUUUCAAAGGGCUCAUGGAUGUUACCCUCAUUGUGAUUCAUAAAGGAUUCUUUUUCCAUGCAUGCAAAUUAUAGUAAAGUCAACGCGUAGAAUGUUUAAAUGCAUAACCAUCAUGCUCUCAAGAUUUAUGGUGAUAUGCUUACUAUGGAACAAUGACCAAAAUUUGAUUCAUUCACGCAUUGAAGACAACACAAAAAUGACACCACAUUUUCACAACUUAAUAUUCAGCAGGUGCAUAAAUACUUUUCUCCUCACCUCAUAGAAGAGUGCACUAUUGGAACCUAAAGAUCCAUCAGCAAAACCCUUAACACCACCUAAAUAAAUCCAAUCACUCAGAGUUCGACCUGUUUUUGUAAUAAGAUCCUAGGAGGGUAAAUAAGACUUUGUGAGUGCCAACAAAAACACACGCGGAACAUAAACCAAAAUUAUUAAGUAAAAUAAAUGGACACAAGGUAAGAAACACCGAAAGAAACAUGUUAACACUGGAGGAACUUAAAGAAUUCAUACAACUAGGCGUGCCCAUGUUUCCAUCGAGAAAAAUAAGCAAACCCUGAUCCUCAUCUUGCCUAAAGAGUCAGCCCAUUGAUAUACAUCUGAAAGAUCCUCCCAUGAAUUCUCUAUCGAUGCCCCAGGAAAGUAUCUUCCAAAAUCAACAACGGUUGUCACCCCCCUCAUCAAGGCAAGAUUGCCAGCUAUAAGCACAGCCUCCCUUCUUUCAUCUACUGAGACCUCUGGGAUCCAGGGCAGAAUGAGUUUCAUUGCAGCAUCAAUUAACAAUCCAGUAGGUUCUCCAUCAGCAGACCUCAAAAUGGUUCCACCAUUUGGAUUUUGUAAUAAACUACUGAUUCCAGCUAACUUCAGUGCCAUUGAAUUAGCCAAACCCAUGUGACCAUCCAUCCUAGUUAACCAAACAGGAUUUUUUGGUGUUAUAUCAUCUAUCCAAGAGGCUACUGGUAAUUCUCCUCCCCAUAGAUCAUUGUUCCAUCCACCACCCAAUACCCAGGAACCUUCUUCCAAAUCUAAAAAAUAUUCAUUCUAUUAUUUGAAAAAUAAUUCUAAGAUUUGAUAAGUCAGGAGACUAAUUUUUCAUACUUAGAUUCACCCUUUCAAGAACAAUGGUUAUCUAGUUUUACAGGACCUAAUCAUUUUACAACUAACAAGUGAUUCAUGCAUCUGAAGAGUAAUUACAGGUUUAAUGCUUCUUUUUGACUGACCCAUCCUUUCCCAAUAGUCCACAACCUUUAACCUGAACAUGGCAACAUCUUUUUAAGAUGAUUAGGUAGCGCACAAUCAUGAGAAUAAAAGUUUAUAGGAAAAAAAAAUUUGCCUGACACAUCCUCUCAUAAAGGAAAAUUUAUUGCAUAAAUGCCCAUGCAGAUGUUAAACAUGUGGGGACACACGUUCAUAAUGCCAUGUACUCAAACGAAUGCCUAAUUUUUUUUUUUCAACAUUCAUGUCCCACAAGUAAAACCAUGUCUAACACUUCAAAAGUAAGUAAAGUGGUGUUACCAAUCACACUGUUCUAUCAGAAAGCAUGAAAAUUACUUGUUACAGCUUCCCUGACCCUUCUCACAAAUUCAUCUUUUCCAUUCACACCUCGUAGCUCCACACGCAUCAUCUGUUUUUCAUUGAUAAAAUCUCAACUCCAUGUAUACAACCAACAACUAGAGGAAAUUACAUGGUAAGAUAACAUCAAUGACAGAAAAAUUAAACGCACACACACACUUUAAGGUAAAAUAAAAAAAGGUUAGAGUGAAGACUGAAGAAGACUGCAUAAAUAAUUAAUUUUCUGAGGUCAAAACAUAAAGGGCCAAAUCAGUAACUCAUUAGCAUAUAGCAACUGAAACAAUUAUGUUGGGAGAAGCCAUAAAUAGCUCAAAAGAGGUUAAUCACUGGCUCCAGUAAUCAAUUUACAGACUGUCAAUAAAGAAUGGCCAGCAAAGAAAAAAUAAAUUGCUAUUAAAAAAAAAAGAAGCUAAUACAAAUUGAAUACAAGAUGCCUAUCGCUAUAUACCUGCAGCCCACCAUAAAUGAAAUGGACAUGUGAAUCAAUAAAUCCAGGAACCACUACUUUCCCUUCAAGAUCCAACACUUUGGUCUUAUCACCAGCAAAAUUCUGCAUUUUGGGUAACUGUUAACUGAAAUGACAAGACAAUACAGAUUCAUAAUAAGUUGUAAAAACAGAAUAAAUUCAAUAAGAGCAAAUGAAAUCAAGAACCUGAAGAGAUGAAUAGUUGCCAACACUGAGAAUUCUACCGUUUAGCACAGCCAUAGAAUCGGCGAAAGGCAAAGACGCAUCGCUGGUGAAAAUAACCCCAUUGUGCACUAUCAUAUCCGCCAUUAAUUCUCUGGACAUUGAUGUCGAUGAUCUUCUUAACACGAAAUCUAACCAUUGUUUGGGUAAGUCGAAGGGAGAAAAUGGAAGCAAGAGAAUGGAGAGAACGAGAACGAUGGAAGCGGAGACGAUAAUGGAAAGAUUCAUGAUGGGAAAAGUAUGGAAAUCUCUAAUGCCAAUCUGCAACUCUGCUUCUGCUUCACUGGUUCACCGACUCCAAUUCACCCUCUAGAUUGGCCUUCCAAUU
rnacentral:misc_RNA from 1 species